rnacentral:tRNA from 1 species
GGAAGCGUGCCAGAGCUCGGUUGAAUGGGCCGCACUCGAAAUGCGGUAUAUCCGAAAGGGUAUCGGAGGUUCAAAUCCUCCCGCUUCCGCCA